AGAGUUUGAUCAUGGCUCAGGACGAACGCUGGCGGCGUGCUUAACACAUGCAAGUCGAACGGGCGUAGCGAUACGUCAGUGGCGGACGGGUGAGUAACGCGUGAACAAUCUGCCUCAUACAGGGGGAUAACACUGAGAAAUCAGUGCUAAUACCGCAUAAGACCACAAGAUCGCAUGGUUUAGUGGUAAAAGGGAUUACCGGUAUGAGAUGAGUUCGCGUCCCAUUAGGUAGUUGGCGGGGUAACGGCCCACCAAGCCUGCGAUGGGUAGCCGACCUGAGAGGGUGGCCGGCCACACUGGAACUGAGACACGGUCCAGACUCCUACGGGAGGCAGCAGUGGGGAAUAUUGGGCAAUGGAGGAAACUCUGACCCAGCAACGCCGCGUGAGUGAAGAAGGUCUUCGGAUUGUAAAGCUCUGUGGGCAGGGAAGAAGACAGUGACAGUACCUGCACAGCAAGCCACGGCCAACUACGUGCCAGCAGCCGCGGUAAUACGUAGGUGGCGAGCGUUGUCCGGAAUGACUGGGCGUAAAGGGUGCGUAGGCGGCCGAUCAAGUUAGUAGUGAAAUACCCGGGCUCAACUUGGGUGCUACUACUAAGACUGAUUGGCUUGAGUGUGGGAGAGGUAAGUGGAAUUCCUAGUGUAGCGGUGGAAUGCGUAGAUAUUAGGAGGAACACCGGCGGCGAAGGCGGCUUACUGGACCACAACUGACGCUGAGGCACGAAAGCGUGGGGAGCAAACAGGAUUAGAUACCCUGGUAGUCCACGCCGUAAACGAUGGAUACUAGGUGUAGGGGGUUUCGACGCCCUCUGUGCCGUCGCAAACGCAAUAAGUAUCCCGCCUGGGGAGUACGGCCGCAAGGUUAAAACUCAAAGGAAUUGACGGGGACCCGCACAAGCAGCGGAGCAUGUGGUUUAAUUCGAAGCAACGCGAAGAACCUUACCAAGGCUUGACAUCCCCUGCAUAGGAUGGAAACAUCUGAAAUCGUAGCAAUACGACAGGGAGACAGGUGGUGCAUGGUCGUCGUCAGCUCGUGUCGUGAGAUGUUGGGUUAAGUCCCGCAACGAGCGCAACCCUUGUGGAUAGUUGCCAUCAUUAAGUUGGGCACUCUAUUCAGACUGCCGUGGACAACACGGAGGAAGGUGGGGAUGACGUCAGAUCAUCACGCCCCUUACGUCUUGGGCUACACACGUGCUACAAUGGUCGUUACAGAGAGAAGCGAACCGGCAACGGGGAGCAAAUCUCAAAAAAGCGAUCCCAGUUCAGAUUGUGGGCUGCAACUCGCCCACAUGAAGGCGGAGUUGCUAGUAAUCGCGAAUCAGCAUGUCGCGGUGAAUGCGUUCCCGGGUCUUGUACACACCGCCCGUCACGCCAUGGGAGCCGGGAGUACCCGAAGUCAGUGACCUAACCGCAAGGAAGGAGCUGCCGAAGGUAAGACCGGUGACUGGGGUGAAGUCGUAACAAGGUAGCC
rnacentral:rRNA from 1 species